rnacentral:rRNA from 1 species
AUGGCUCUGAGGCACAGCACGCGGUUCCGCGCGGUCACCGCGUUCCUCGGCGUGCUCUCCUUCGUCCUCGCCGUCGUCGCCGAGCUCAAGAAGCCGCCGUACCGGAUGCCGAUCAGAGGCGCGGACGUGGUCGUCUGCCGGCUCCCGCCGGACCCGACGGUGGCGCUGGGCGCCCUGUCCGCGCUCGCCGCCGCGUGCUGCGCCGGGAUCGGCGCCGUCUCCGUCUUCUUCCCCUACGACGGCAGGUCCAUCCCCAGGAAGGCCCUCUUCGACUACACGCCAUGCUCCACGUCUUCUUCCAUCUCGCCAUGCGCCACGGUGGCCGGGAUAGGGACGACGACGUGGGCGACAGCGACGGAGGCCAUGCACCACGUCCGGAACGUGCACCGCAACCUCGGGUACGCCUGCCCGACGGCCGAGACUGGGCUGCUCGGCGCCGCCGCGUUCCUCAACCUCGACGCCUCGCUCUUCUGGCUCAUAUGCGUCAUGCUCGUUGGCAACGUCACGGAAGACUACUUCGACGGCCGGGACGAGAUCGGCGGCGACGGAGGCGCAGGGAUAGGAGAGAAGUGA